GCGGCGUGCUUAACACAUGCAAGUCGAACGGAAAGGCCCUGCUUUUGUGGGGUGCUCGAGUGGCGAACGGGUGAGUAACACGUGAGUAACCUGCCCUUGACUUUGGGAUAACUUCAGGAAACUGGGGCUAAUACCGGAUAGGAGCUCCUGCUGCAUGGUGGGGGUUGGAAAGUUUCGGCGGUUGGGGAUGGACUCGCGGCUUAUCAGCUUGUUGGUGGGGUAGUGGCUUACCAAGGCUUUGACGGGUAGCCGGCCUGAGAGGGUGACCGGCCACAUUGGGACUGAGAUACGGCCCAGACUCCUACGGGAGGCAGCAGUGGGGAAUAUUGCACAAUGGGCGGAAGCCUGAUGCAGCAACGCCGCGUGCGGGAUGACGGCCUUCGGGUUGUAAACCGCUUUCGCCUGUGACGAAGCGUGAGUGACGGUAAUGGGUAAAGAAGCACCGGCUAACUACGUGCCAGCAGCCGCGGUGAUACGUAGGGUGCGAGCGUUGUCCGGAUUUAUUGGGCGUAAAGGGCUCGUAGGUGGUUGAUCGCGUCGGAAGUGUAAUCUUGGGGCUUAACCCUGAGCGUGCUUUCGAUACGGGUUGACUUGAGGAAGGUAGGGGAGAAUGGAAUUCCUGGUGGAGCGGUGGAAUGCGCAGAUAUCAGGAGGAACACCAGUGGCGAAGGCGGUUCUCUGGGCCUUUCCUGACGCUGAGGAGCGAAAGCGUGGGGAGCGAACAGGCUUAGAUACCCUGGUAGUCCACGCUGUAAACGGUGGGUACUAGGUGUGGGGUCCAUUCCACGGGUUCCGUGCCGUAGCUAACGCUUUAAGUACCCCGCCUGGGGAGUACGGCCGCAAGGCUAAAACUCAAAGGAAUUGACGGGGCCCCGCACAAGCGGCGGAGCAUGCGGAUUAAUUCGAUGCAACGCGUAGAACCUUACCUGGGUUUGACAUGGAUCGGGAGUGCUCAGAGAUGGGUGUGCCUCUUUUGGGGUCGGUUCACAGGUGGUGCAUGGCUGUCGUCAGCUCGUGUCGUGAGAUGUUGGGUUAAGUCCCGCAACGAGCGCAACCCUUGUUCACUGUUGCCAGCACGUUAUGGUGGGGACUCAGUGGAGACCGCCGGGGUCAACUCGGAGGAAGGUGGGGAUGACGUCAAGUCAUCAUGCCCCUUAUGUCCAGGGCUUCACGCAUGCUACAAUGGCUGGUACAGAGAGUGGCGAGCCUGUGAGGGUGAGCGAAUCUCGGAAAGCCGGUCUCAGUUCGGAUUGGGGUCUGCAACUCGACCUCAUGAAGUCGGAGUCGCUAGUAAUCGCAGAUCAGCAACGCUGCGGUGAAUACGUUCCCGGGGCUUGUACACACCGCCCGUCAAGUCAUGAAAGUUGGUAACACCCGAAGCCGGUGGCCUAACCGUUGUGGGGGAGCCGUCGAAGGUGGGACUGGUGAUUAGGACU
rnacentral:rRNA from 1 species